rnacentral:tRNA from 1 species
GCCUUCGUGAUGUAGUGGUCAGCACGCUCGGCUCGAAUUCGAGAGGUCCGUGGUUCGAGUCCCGGCUAGGGCA